rnacentral:rRNA from 1 species
GAGCGGUAGAGAGAAGCUUGCUUCUCUUGAGAGCGGCGGACGGGUGAGUAAUGCCUAGGAAUCUGCCUGGUAGUGGGGGAUAACGUUCGGAAACGGACGCUAAUACCGCAUACGUCCUACGGGAGAAAGCAGGGGACCUUCGGGCCUUGCGCUAUCAGAUGAGCCUAGGUCGGAUUAGCUAGUUGGUGGGGUAAUGGCUCACCAAGGCGACGAUCCGUAACUGGUCUGAGAGGAUGAUCAGUCACACUGGAACUGAGACACGGUCCAGACUCCUACGGGAGGCAGCAGUGGGGAAUAUUGGACAAUGGGCGAAAGCCUGAUCCAGCCAUGCCGCGUGUGUGAAGAAGGUCUUCGGAUUGUAAAGCACUUUAAGUUGGGAGGAAGGGCAUUAACCUAAUACGUUAGUGUUUUGACGUUACCGACAGAAUAAGCACCGGCUAACUCUGUGCCAGCAGCCGCGGUAAUACAGAGGGUGCAAGCGUUAAUCGGAAUUACUGGGCGUAAAGCGCACGCAGGCGGUCUGUUAAGUCAGAUGUGAAAUCCCCGGGCUCAACCUGGGAACUGCAUUCAAAACUGACUGACUAGAGUAUGGUAGAGGGUGGUGGAAUUUCCUGUGUAGCGGUGAAAUGCGUAGAUAUAGGAAGGAACACCAGUGGCGAAGGCGACCACCUGGACUGAUACUGACACUGAGGUGCGAAAGCGUGGGGAGCAAACAGGAUUAGAUACCCUGGUAGUCCACGCCGUAAACGAUGUCGACUUGGAGGUUGUUCCCUUGAGGAGUGGCUUCCGGAGCUAACGCGUUAAGUCGACCGCCUGGGGAGUACGGCCGCAAGGUUAAAACUCAAAUGAAUUGACGGGGGCCCGCACAAGCGGUGGAGCAUGUGGUUUAAUUCGAUGCAACGCGAAGAACCUUACCUACUCUUGACAUCCAGAGAACUUAGCAGAGAUGCUUUGGUGCCUUCGGGAACUUUGAGACAGGUGCUGCAUGGCUGUCGUCAGCUUGUGUUGUGAAAUGUU